AAGUCGUAACAAGGUUUCCGUAGGUGAACCUGCGGAAGGAUCAUUAACACGUAUCCACGUAUCUACACCCUGGUCACUUGUUUCUCUCCCGCCCUGUCGACUCACAUGAAUUGGAAGGUGCGUCCCUACAUGGAAGAAAAAAUUUAUUUUUUUCUUUGCUAACAAUUGUAGUGUUGCGACAGGCUAUUUAACAAACAAUUUUCACCACUUUUGCGAGUUGAUUUUUUUCAGUAUCUGUCUAUUUUUUCUGGUUGUGUUCUCCGUAAUUCAGUUUACGUGAGAGAUGACUCGUUUCGAAAGGAACGAAAAAAUGAAAAAAGAAAACAUAUUACAACACCUUUACAACUCUUAGCAAUGGAUAUCUUGGUUCUC
rnacentral:misc_RNA from 1 species